rnacentral:rRNA from 1 species
GAUGAACGCUGGCGGCGUGCCUAAUACAUGCAAGUCGAGCGAACAGAUAAGGAGCUUGCUCCUUUGACGUUAGCGGCGGACGGGUGAGUAACACGUGGAUAACCUACCUAUAAGACUGGGAUAACUUCGGGAAACCGGAGCUAAUACCGGAUAACAUAUUGAACCGCAUGGUUCAAUAGUGAAAGGCGGCUUUGCUGUCACUUAUAGAUGGACCCGCGCCGUAUUAGCUAGUUGGUAAGGUAACGGCUUACCAAGGCAACGAUACGUAGCCGACCUGAGAGGGUGAUCGGCCACACUGGAACUGAGACACGGUCCAGACUCCUACGGGAGGCAGCAGUAGGGAAUCUUCCGCAAUGGGCGAAAGCCUGACGGAGCAACGCCGCGUGAGUGAUGAAGGUCUUCGGAUCGUAAAACUCUGUUAUCAGGGAAGAACAAAUGUGUAAGUAACUGUGCACAUCUUGACGGUACCUGAUCAGAAAGCCACGGCUAACUACGUG